CCGUCGCCCGACACAGAGUGCAUUCACAUAGGGGCAUAUUGCUCCUGGAAUUUAUCUCCUUGAAACAACCGGAACCGUGUGGGCCGUGUACUGGGUGUAGACGUGUAUUAUAGUAUAAACAAGUACCAAUGAAAUGUGAAAAACGGAGGAGUUUUUUUUCAAGUAUUAGUUUUUUUUUACUUACAACGUAGAAUAGUUUGAAUUGGCGUUGAUUCGGGAGUGUAAAACUUUUUGGCAAGUUGUACGAAAUUCUAGAAUUAUGACUGAUUCUCGAAUCAAAAAUUGAUUCUUUUGUGAUUUUUGGACUAAAUAAUCAUGAUUUUCUUUUGCCAAAACCACGUAAUUCUUACUGAAAACUGUGAUUUUCUGAUUCUUUCUGAAAAUAAAAAAAUCUUUGACAAGUGUACGAGCUUCUUGCGAGUUUUACACCCCCUUCGUUGAUUUCUUAUGUCACUACUCGAAACUGGACGCCUCUCCCGAAAAUGUUCAAAAAAUGACAAAGCAUUUAAGUAGAUUUUUUUUCCAGUGAUGUGUUGAAUUAAUACCUAAUUCAAAUCGGUUGGUUUGAGAAUUGCGUAUUUUUCUGUAUAAAGAAAUUUGGUUAGUUAGGUACGGUACUUACGGACUUACGAUUAUUUUAACUAACAACAUUCACUGGAUGAUUCGAAGGUACAGUAUAUUACUUACCUAUCAGCAGCUGCACUCACAAAGUCGAUCGAAACUAUCAGCGGAAAUCGUAAGAAUCUAUAUAUUCACAACCAACCAUGAAACAUUUUUUGCGCUUUUUUGCUUUUUCAUUUCAAGGAGAAAUAGCUCUAGAAGAUUCCGAACUAUUUACAGUAACAAGUAAGGUGAAUAUCCAUUCCUUUUGUCACUUGAAAAAUGUGCCCGCCAUUUAAAAAACUCAAAAGAUGAGGAGAUGGGGAGAAUCCUUCCCAUCCUUCCAUACCAAGUAUCCAUCCGAUUUGGGUUCAGUCAUCUAAUAUCCGCAAGUGCGGUACUCCAUUUCACCAUGUUAUUCUGCAUUCGAUGAUCGUUCGCCGUUAUUAGAACAAAAACAGUACGCAUCAUAAUUGACGUAUGCACACUUGACAGCCAGUAGGAAAAUUCCUGAAUGACUUAGAAUGCCAGCAGAGAAACACCUGCUUUUGAUUUCUCUGUGGCUUGCCACCAUGUACCAUUCGUUUAGUGGCUUUCGUGUUGGAUGGCGAAUUUAGUGGCGAAAAAGUACUUUGUUACCGUUCUACAAAUCCCUGUGUAGUGAAGACAAGAUGUCGAAGACUAAAGCUUUCUGUUCGUUCAAGCUUUCCAGAAUGUCAAAAUAUUUAUUAAGACGCCACUCCUGGCAUACAGCAUGACGUAUACCUGACAGGGAAAUACGUUAUUUUAUUUUAAAUAUUACAUCAGGUUGCCGACGUCAUCCUUACAGCAGAUAUUUUAAAAAAUUUACUUUCGUUGCCAAUGCUCUUAGAAAUGUGCGAUGACGAAGAUUCUAAAUUUUUGCACAAAGGUAAGUUAACGACCCAAUUUAAUAAAUCCCCCAGCGACUUUGAUGAGGACGUGGCAUAUGCUGAUCUUAUUAUCUGUCCAGCGUUGGUGUCCAUAGUUUCGGAGAACACUAGAGUGCACUAUAAACCUAAAUGUUGAUACCUUUUCAACAGUCUAAACGAUAAAGAUGUAACGGUGAAGUAAACGGCACAAAACAUUUAUUUACGAAAUUUUGAAACAAAUUUUAGCUAGACUUCUCCAAGAUAUCUCUAGAAGUAUGUCGUGUUCGAGCUUUGACCACCUCCUGUAAAUGUUUUGGUAACAGGGAGAUAAAUGGGUCGCCAUGACCGACGUAUUUAGCAAUAGAUUCCACGCAGCACCUUUACAAAGUUUUCCAUUAUGCUAUUUCUACCCAUUUUCCAUAUAUUUACUAACCUGAGAAGAGUUUUAGGAGUGACAGACAUCGACAACAUGUUUUCAGCAUAAACCUGUAAACAAGGGCCGUGAUUAGGUAAUAAGUGAAAGGAGAAAAUAGUUUUAUCCUAUAAUACCGUGCCAUCUGGCUGGUAGCUGUGAAUAUUACUUCGAACUCCACCUAUCACGAUCCAAUCGCUGUCGACCUUAACACUUUGAUGCCAUAAUCGUUUAUCGGACACCUUUAAUGGUAUUUCGGUCCAGUUAUUUCGGUCUAUAUCGUACAUCCAACAAUCUCCUAAGAGAAUACACUCAAUUACAUAGGUUAUUGUAAAGCAUAGUGGCUAUAAUUAAACCUAUUUUUAAAAUACAGUUUCAGCUGAAAAUUCGCAAUGCUUGUGGUCCUUAUCUGAACAGUUUUCUACGAUUUUGGCCAAACAAUGUUUCGCUCCGGCAAAUCGUCGUACUGCCGGGUUGCCAGCUAAACGAUUUCUAUUCUUCUGAUGGAAGAAACGGGGUUACAUUGUUUUGUUUUAAGUAUUCCUAUCCCUAACUUUCUUUUACGUAAUUUCUAAGAAGAUAAGAUUAGUUGACAGCCCCUGGUAAAAAAAUGAACGCCACAGGACCACAUACAGCGCAACAUUUUUGGACAGAUUAAGAACGAGGACGAAAAAACAAAAAAACAAAAAAAGAGUUAUAUGUAUAAGACAAUCUAGUAAUAGAAAGAUAUGAAGUAUAACUAUACCCAAUACUUCUCCUUCUGCUGAAAGACCACCGUAUAAAAUAGCUUUAGAUGACCCUACAUAAGUGAAAGAAUGCCACGAUCGACCACAAGGGAAGAGCUUGCCUGGAUUUAAACUAAAAGGCAGCUAUUAGGCAGAUUCGAUCACCAAGAAGCAAAAUAGUACUAUUUACUUUUCGCUCCACGACAUGGACUUCAAGUCAAGAACGUAAAGAUCAUUCAAUCGUGUUCCCUGAAGUCUACCACCGAAGAUAUACACACGGGAUUGGCAUCGAAAUCCAGCAAGAGCUGCACGUGGACUUGGAGGUAGCCCACUAGUUUCUGGCCAUUCCCAUCUGUUGCUAUUAAUGUUGUAUGCAACCAACUGAUUAUUCCAUCCUCUUCCCAUAUACCAUUGAUGACUUCUAUCAGGAAUAUAAUCAUACUGAUCAGCAUUGCGAUCGUCGUCAGCAGGUGUACCAAAGCCACCAAAAAAGAAAACUCUAAAACACAAGUUUGGUAUCAGUAGCAAAAUAUAGUCAAUACAAAAUUUCAAUUUA